rnacentral:piRNA from 1 species
UAGACUGACAGUUAAAUAAAGUUCC